UUUUAUUUUGAGCUAAUAAAAGCUAAGUUUUAUUCAUUCUACUUGGAAGUCCCUGGAGUGCUAUCUUGUACUUUUGGCUGUAUAUAUAUAUAUAUAUAUAUAUAUAUAUUUUAAUUGGGGUAGCCACCAAAAUAUUGGUACAUAUAAGAUAAGACAACUGUGUUCCGCAGAGUAGCUGUUGACAUUAUAGUUGCGCUGGAACUUUGUUGACUAGAGAACCUCGGACAAAUCGCACAUCCCCGUGGCAGCAACUUUGCAUGCGGAUGUCAUCCAUAUCAACUUUCGAUGCCAGUUUCUGCGCCUACCAUGGUGACCACGGGUAACGGGGAAUCACGAUUCCAUUCCAUACAGGGACCCUGAGAAACUGCUACGACAUGCAAGGAAGGCAGUAGUCGCGCAAAUGGCCCACUCCCGACGCGAGAAAGUAGUGACGACAAAUAACAAUACAGGACUCUUUAGAGGCACUGUAAUUGUAAUGAGUCCACUUGAAAUCCUUUAACGCUGAUCAAUUGGAGGUAAGUUCGGUGCAGAACCACUGACCCGUGCGUGCUGCAGCUGAAACUCCACUA